UACAGAGGUGGCAAGCGUUGUUCGGAAUUACUGGGCGUAAAGGGCGCGUAGGCGGUCUUCUAAGUCGGACGUGAAAUCCCUCGGCUCAACCGAGGAACUGCGUCCGAUACUGGCAGGCUGGAAUCCGGGAGAGGGAUGUGGAAUUCCAGGUGUAGCGGUGAAAUGCGUAGAUAUCUGAAGGAACACCGGUGGCGAAGGCGGCAUCCUGGACCGGUAUUGACGCUGAGGCGCGAAAGCUAGGGGAGCAAACGGG
rnacentral:rRNA from 1 species